rnacentral:rRNA from 1 species
GUAGGGAAUAUUGGGCAAUGGGCGAGAGCCUGACCCAGCCAUGCCGCGUGCAGGAAGAAGGCUUUCUGAGUCGUAAACUGCUUUUGACAGGGAAGAAUAAGGACUACGUGUAGUCUGAUGACGGUACCUGCAGAAUAAGCACCGGCUAACUCCGUGCCAGCAGCCGCGGUAAUACGGAGGGUGCGAGCGUUGUCCGGAUUUAUUGGGUUUAAAGGGUGCGUAGGCGGUUCUUUAAGUCCGGGGUGAAAGCCCGCUGCUCAACAGCGGAACUGCCCUGGAUACUGGAGAACUUGAGUACAGACGAGGUUGGCGGAAUGGACUGAGUAGCGGUGAAAUGCAUAGAUACAGUCCAGAACCCCGAUUGCGAAGGCAGCUGACUAGGCUGUUACUGACGCUGAGGCACGAAAGCGUGGGGAGCGAACAGGAUUAGAUACCCCUGUAGUCC